UUUCUCCCUUCUGCAACCUCAACAAAACCUCUGUAUGCUGGAAAGGAAGCUGACAUCCUCUAAAGUAUGUAGGCUUUUGCUGUGGUUCGGAUCGCAAAUGUUUUCCAAAGGCUCAUGUACUAAAAUGGCUGGUCUGAGUUUGGCACUCUUAAGAAAUAGUGGAACGCUUGAAGAAGCAGGACUUGGUGAAAGGCACUGGUUGCUGCAGACAUGCUUUUGAAGAGUUCUGUGGGUCUCCAGUGGACAUCUGUCUUACGCUUCUGCCCUCAGGCCUUGAAGAGAGCUGAUUCCUUCUGGCAGCCAUUCUUUCCACAAAUCACCUUCCAAGCCACAGAGUGGCACUUUUCAAAGGAGUAUCACAUGAACAGUUGAAAACGGAGAAGUCUUUCUACAAAUCUAGGAAUAACAGUGUGAUGGUUAAACAUGACCCAGUUUCCCUGGAUGUUUCUGUCUCCAGCAGGAAGGAAUCAGUGAUAUCAAGUGACGAUUUGAGAAGAUCAGCAAAGCUUAAGUUUCUUAUUUCAGCAUAACCCAAUGUUACCCAUCUCAAUGAACAAUCAACCACUCUUAACUCUGCUUUAUAAAACAAAAGAUGAACCAAAAAUGAAUACCAGAAGAUAAAUAUAAAACAUGCUACAGUUACUCAGCCAAGAUUCCUGGAUAUCCAUGACUACAAGCAUUUUCACUCAAUGAAUUUUACAUUCCGUUGCUCAGACCACGUAUACAGGGUAAGUUUCCAUCAUACAGAUUGAUCUGCUGUGCAUUACCCGGUGAAACUGCUUUGGAUAUUGACACAUGUCGGCUCUCCAUCAGCAUGCAUUCAUUGUCAAAUUAUCAAUUAGUUUUGAAAUCUACUACGUAGCAAUUGCAAUUAUUGCUAAACUCACUUUACCUAAUUUACUUUAGUCAAAAUGAACCUUUUCCUUGACUAAGUCUUCAUUUACUCUUCAUUGACUAAUAAAGCAUUUUCAUCUUAA